rnacentral:misc_RNA from 1 species
AGUCGUAACAAGGUAUCCGUAGGUGAACCUGCGGAUGGAUCAUUAACAAAGGUGAUUUUGAAGUUGUGUGAACAGUUGGAGGUGGUGGUGGUGGUGGUGGUAUUGGGUGGUACUGGGUGGUAUUGGGUGGUAUUGGGUGGUAUUGAGUGGUGUAACCUUGGUCUAACCUUGGUCAACCUCACUCAACCUCACUCAACCUCACUCUCCCAACCUCACUCUCCCAACCUCCACCACUCCGUCCCUAUAAUGUAUACAAACUGAUGUCUGCUAGUUUCAAACUAAAACAACUUUUAGCAACGGAUCUCUUGGCUCUC